UGAAGAUUUGCAUAGACAAAAGAAAAUAUAUUUAAUUUUUGGACUUUAACCAUUUUAGCAUACUCUCCUGCAGCGCAAUCCAUUUUCUUCUAUUUCAUUGUGUGGACUUUCUGCUCACUUGUGUCCGGGAUUUUGCAGCGCUAGAGGGUUAAAUAUCUGAACAGAAAUUGUACCU